GUGUUGGGCCGAGUCUGACUCAUCGAGGCAACAGACGGGGUCGCUAGUCGGCCGAUAUCGCCUUGGGGAAGUUCCCCGGACCGUUGAACAGAAAUUGUCGUGAUAUAAUUGUCACAGCCUCUGUCGCAGGCGUUCUUUACGGGAAAGGAGUCGAAAGACGAUCCUUGAGGACGCCGGGCUGAGUGCACUGGUCAAAGCAAAGAUGGAAUGUCAGUCCGAGCAACUCAACGGGGGCUACUCCGGUUCAACA
rnacentral:RNase_MRP_RNA from 13 species